GGGAAGGGGGCGAAAAGCCCCCCGCCCCCCCCCCCCCGAUUUUAUUUAUCCCUGCUGUUUCAGGAUAAAAGGUUUUUCCUCCUUCUUCCUUCUCCCUUACCCUAGAAAAAAAAAAAAAGGAAAAAAAAAAUUAAAAAAAAAGAAAAAAAAAGAAAAAACCCUUUUUGCAUGAAUACAGCCCAAAACAGUCCUUGCUUCUAACCGGGCAGGGCCCUGUCCCAAAGGGACCGAGUGGGUAUCGGGGUGCUGGGGGCACGAGGAUGGAGGGAACCCCAUGGGACGGAGCUUUGGGGUCAGGCUGGGCCGGUUGGGAGCUGGCGGCCCCGUGCCUCAGUUUCCCCCAGUCCCCUGGUUGUGGGGAGCCCCGGAGACCCCCGUCCCUCGCCCCGCAGCCCCUGUUCCCACCCUGACCCCAAACCCUGCAGCCCCCCCGUCCUUCCCCAAGCGGCCUCGUCCCCUCCGUGCUGCAGCCUCGGCAGCCACGAGGUGGCAGGGCUCGGAGCCUCGGGGCCGCAUCCAGCCCAGGACCACGGCCUGUAGGGUGCUCAGCACCCCGGCACCCUGAUACCCCGACACCCCAACACCCCAGUACCCCAGCACCCCGAUACCGUGACACCCCGACACCCCAGAACCCCAAUACAUCGACACCCCAACACUCCAGAACCCCAAUACCCCGACACUCCAGCACCCCAAUACCCUAACACCCCGGUACCCCGACACCCCAGCACCCCAAUAUCCCGACACCCCAAUACCCUAAUACCCUGACACCCUGACACCCCAAAACCCCAACACCCCACUACCCCGACACCCCAGCACCCCAAUACCUCAACACCCCAAUACCUCAACACCUCAACACCUUGACUCCCCAACACCCCAAUACAUCGACACCCCAACACCCCAACACUCCAGCACCCCAAUACCCCAAGAAGAGAGGAGAGCACACCACCGACACCCCAGCACCCUAAUACCCCAACACCUGGGUACCCCAGUACUCUGACACCCCAGAACCCCAACACCCCAAUACCUCAACACACCAAUACCCCAACACCCUGACACCCCAACACCCCAGAACCCCAACACCCCCACACCCCAACACCACNNNNNNNNNNCCCGGUACCCCAAUACCCCAACACCCAAGCACCCCAACACCCUGACACCCCGGUACCCCAAUACCCCAACACCCUGACACCCCAACACCCCAGCACCCCAGAACCCUGACACCCCAGUACCCUGACACCCCAAUACCCCAACACCUCAGUACCCCAACACCCUGACACCCCAGUACCCUGACAUCCUAACACCCCAACACCCCAGUACCCUGACACCCCAAUACCCCAGCACCCCAACACCCCAGUACCCUGACACCCCAGCACCCCAAUACCCCAGCACCCUAACACCCCAACACCUCAGUACCCCAACACCCAAGUACCCCAAUACCCUAACAUCCCAACACCCCAAUACCACAGUACCCCGACACCCCAACACCCCAGUACCCCGACACCCCAACACCCCAACACCCCAAUGGGGGGAUCCCAUAACCCACAUGUCCCUUUCCCCCGUUGCCCUAUCCUAAGGUGCCGUCCCACCUCAGAGCUGCGUUUUGCUGCGUUUCACCUGGAUUUUACCGUUUUCCCCCCAAUUUGAUGGCCUCGAGCUGCCACGUGCGAAAUUCCCACCCAUGAGGCGGCCCCAAAAAUGGGUCCGGCACCCGCUGGGGGAACACAAAGGCACCGGGGGUGCCUCCAGNNNNNNNNNNACAGGGGGAUCUCAUAACCCACGCUGUCCCUUCUGCAAGUCACCCUCCCCAAAGGUGCUGUCCCACCUCGGAGCUGCAUUUUGCUGCGUUUCACCUGGAUUUUACCGUUUUCCCCCCAAUUUGAUGGCCUCGAGCUGCCUCGUGCGAAAUUCCCACCCAUGAGGCGGCCCCAAAAAUGGGUCCGGCACCCGCUGGGGGAACACAAAGGCACCGGGGGUGCGUCCAGCAGGUGCCGGUGGUCCCCGGGCACUAAGAGUUUAUAGGAAUUGAUUAAAAAAAAAAGUGAAAAAAGCAAAAAAAGGGAUCAGGGAGGUUUGGGAAGGGUGCUGGGUGCUCGCAGGGCUGGGAAAAGUGGGGUGGGGAAGGGGCUGCGCCCAGCUUUGGGGCCUGGUACCCACGGGGAUGGGAUGGGAUGGGGUGGGAGGUGGUGGCCCUAUAGGGAGAGGUGUCCCGGAGGCGGGCGCGCGAUUUGGGGUGAAUAAUCCCAAUUUUGGGGUUUUCCUGUCCUUUUUGGAGGAGGGAGCGGUUUAUUUCAGUAAAAAUCUGAUAAUCGCUGCUCUCGCGGAGCUGCGGGGCUGCAGCCCCGUAGUAGGACCGGGGUGGGGGGGGUGUCCCCAAAAGGGUCCCCAAAGGGGGAGGGGGGUCCCCAAUUUCCAGCGCCGCGCUGAUUGACAGCCGGC
rnacentral:lncRNA from 1 species